AGUGAACGCUGGCGGUAGGCCUAACACAUGCAAGUCGAAUGGCAGCACAGGAGAGCUUGCUCUCUGGGUGGCGAGUGGCGGACGGGUGAGGAAUACAUUGGAAUCUACUUUUUCGUGGGGGAUAACGUAGGGAAACUUACGCUAAUACCGCAUACGACCUACGGGUGAAAGCAGGGGAUCUUCGGACCUUGCGCGAUUGAAUGAGCCGAUGUCGGAUUAGCUAGUUGGCGGGGUAAAGGCCCACCAAGGCGACGAUCCGUAGCUGGUCUGAGAGGAUGAUCAGCCACACUGGAACUGAGACACGGUCCAGACUCCUACGGGAGGCAGCAGUGGGGAAUAUUGGACAAUGGGCGCAAGCCUGAUCUAGCCAUACCGCGUGGGUGAAGAAGGCCUUCGGGUUGUAAGGCCCUUUUGUUGGGAAAGAAAUCCAGCUGGUUAAUACCCGGUUGGGAUGACGGUACCCAAAGAAUAAGCACCGGCUAACUUCGUGCCAGCCGCCGCGGUAA
rnacentral:rRNA from 1 species